rnacentral:lncRNA from 1 species
CCAUGUCUGACUGUUAGCCUCUGUCUGACUGCUGCCCACCUGCAUCUGACUGUUGCUAGCCCACGUCCAACUGUUGCCUGCCCAUGUCCAACUGUUGUCAGCCUCUGACUGUUGCUAGCCCAUGUCCGACUGUUGUGUGCCCAUGUCUGACUGUUGCCAGCCCAUGUCUGACUGUUGCCCGCCUGCAUCCGACUGUUGCCUGCCCAUGGCCUGCGUCCAGCUGUUGUUGUCCUCCCGCAUCCAGCUGUUGUUGUCCUCCCGCAUCCAGCUGUUGUCCUCCCGCAUCCAGCUGUUGUUGUCCUCCCGCAUCCAGCUGUUGUUGUCCUCCCA